GGGAUGUGAUGAGUGGUAAUUGCUCGCAACUAAAUAUGCGAGAUGGGUGCCCGCUCCGCCUGCUUACGACAUUGAGGCGCUCCCAUUUCACUAAUCUGAUCCU